UACGUAGGGGGCAAGCGUUGUCCGGAUUUAUUGGGCGUAAAGAGCGUGUAGGCGGCCAGGUAGGUCCGUUGUGAAAACUCGAGGCUCAACCUCGAGACGCCGAUGGAAACCAUCUGGCUAGAGUCCGGAAGAGGAGAGUGGAAUUCCCGGUGUAGCGGUGAAAUGCGCAGAUAUCGGGAAGAACACCCGUGGCUAAGGCGGCUCUCCAGUACGGUACUGACGCUGAGACGCGAAAGCGUGGGGAGCGAACAGG
rnacentral:rRNA from 1 species